GCGGUGCCGGUAUUGGUUCCGUCAGACGCGGUGCAGGUGACAGUGGUGCUGCCAAAUGGGAAAGAGUCACCAGAGGCAUAGUCACACGAGGGCGUCACGGCACCAACCACGAUGUCAGUGGCGGUGACGGCCGACCAGGUGACAGCAGCAGUGCCGCUGGCCGAAGCGUACACGGACGCCGGCGAGGGGACCGUAAUGGCCGGCGCAAUGGUGUCAGUGACAGUAAUGGUGAUGGUCUUGCUCGCGCUAUUGCCGCUUUUGUCAGUGGCCGUGCAGGUGGCUACGGUGGUGCCGACGGGGUAGACGCCAGAGGUGGAGGGGGCCGCGGGGGAGUAGGUGGUGACAACGUUGAGGUUCGUGUCCACGUUGUCAGUGGCGGUGCAUGUGAAGGAGAUGCCGUCGGCGCCGCCAAGCGUGUUGCCCUCCUUGGUGAUGGCGUUGGUGCUGGUGCUGACGUCUGGAGCUGUGUUAUCUGUGGGCGGACAUGCAGGGUGGGGGGGAUUACACGAAUGCGUUUGCAUGUGCGUAAUUGAUGAUUACUAUGUAGCAGAAGCAAGCAAGUGUUCUUCCAAGGUCGGAGCCGCAACAUGCGAAGCCAGUAGGAUCCAUGCCCCGCCGUGCCCCGCCCUGCCUCACUCCGUUCCCCGCGCCCCGCCCCACUGCCACCCAACCCGACCCGACCCGAUCCAACCCGACUCAACCCCACCCAACCCAACCCAAGCAACCCGCCAAGACCCGACCCGACCUACAGCAACCCUUGCCCACCCUACCCUCCCCUCCCCGACCCACGUCUCACCGAGAACGACCACAGCGAAUGUCGCGGUGCCGGUAUUGGUUCCGUCAGACGCGGUGCAGGUGACAGUGGUGCUGCCAAAUGGGAAAGAGUCACCAGAGGCAUAGUCACACGAGGGCGUCACGGCACCAACCACGAUGUCAGUGGCGGUGACGGCCGACCAGGUGACAGCAGCAGUGCCGCUGGCCGAAGCGUACACGGACGCCGGCGAGGGGACCGUAAUGGCCGGCGCAAUGGUGUCAGUGACAGUAAUGGUGAUGGUCUUGCUCGCGCUAUUGCCGCUUUUGUCAGUGGCCGUGCAGGUGGCUACGGUGGUGCCGACGGGGUAGACGCCAGAGGUGGAGGGGGCCGCGGGGGAGUAGGUGGUGACAACGUUGAGGUUCGUGUCCACGUUGUCAGUGGCGGUGCAUGUGAAGGAGAUGCCGUCGGCGCCGCCAAGCGUGUUGCCCUCCUUGGUGAUGGCGUUGGUGCUGGUGCUGACGUCUGGAGCUGUGUUAUCUGUGGGCGGACAUGCAGGGUGGGGGGGAUUACACGAAUGCGUUUGCAUGUGCGUAAUUGAUGAUUACUAUGUAGCAGAAGCAAGCAAGUGUUCUUCCAAGGUCGGAGCCGCAACAUGCGAAGCCAGUAGGAUCCAUGCCCCGCCGUGCCCCGCCCUGCCUCACUCCGUUCCCCGCGCCCCGCCCCACUGCCACCCAACCCGACCCGACCCGAUCCAACCCGACUCAACCCCUCCCAACCCAACCCAAGCAACCCGCCAAGACCCGACCCGACCUACAGCAACCCUUGCCCACCCUACCCUCCCCUCCCCGACCCACGUCUCACCGAGAACGACCACAGCGAAUGUCGCGGUGCCGGUAUUGGUUCCGUCAGACGCGGUGCAGGUGACAGUGGUGCUGCCAAAUGGGAAAGAGUCACCAGAGGCAUAGUCACACGAGGGCGUCACGGCACCAACCACGAUGUCAGUGGCGGUGACGGCCGACCAGGUGACAGCAGCAGUGCCGCUGGCCGAAGCGUACACGGACGCCGGCGAGGGGACCGUAAUGGCCGGCGCAAUGGUGUCAGUGACAGUAAUGGUGAUGGUCUUGCUCGCGCUAUUGCCGCUUUUGUCAGUGGCCGUGCAGGUGGCUACGGUGGUGCCGACGGGGUAGACGCCAGAGGUGGAGGGGGCCGCGGGGGAGUAGGUGGUGACAACGUUGAGGUUCGUGUCCACGUUGUCAGUGGCGGUGCAUGUGAAGGAGAUGCCAUCGGCGCCGCCAAGCGUGUUGCCCUCCUUGGUGAUGGCGUUGGUGCUGGUGCUGACGUCUGGAGCUGUGUUAUCUGUGGGCGGACAUGCAGGGUGCGGGGGGCGUGAUGACAAGAAUGCGUGUGCAUGGUCUGUGUUUGUAUUAACGGAAGCUAGCGGAACCUUCGUUCCAUGCAAAGCUGCAGCACACCAAGUCUGCCUGCUGGGUCUAUCUCUCUAAUCUAGCCCCGCCCCGUCGCCAUCUAUGCGCCGCGCCUAGCCAUGCCUGUGCCAUCCACUUUACUACUGCUGCGUGCAUUGACCCAUAUGAACCAUCCAUAGAAGACCUAACCUACAAUCCCUGAGGCUCUGCCUAAUUUACGGCUUACCCAGGACGGUCACAGUGAACGUCUUUGUGGCGACGUUUGGCGUGGGUUGCGCGCCAUCAGACGCGGUGCAGGUGACCGUGGUGCUGCCAGAUGGGAAAGAGUCACCAGAGGCAUGGUUGCAUGCGGGCGUCACGGCACCAACCACGAUGUCAGUGGCGGUGACGGCCGACCAGGUGACGGCAGCAGUGCCGCUGGCCGAAGCGUACACGGACGCCGGCGAGGGGACCGUGAUGGCCGGCGCAAUGGUGUCAGUGACAACAAUGGUGAUGGUCUUGCUCGCACUGUUGCCGCUUUUGUCAGUGGCCGUGCAGGUGGCUACGGUGGUGCCGACGGGGUAGACGCCAGAGGUGGAGGGGGCCGCGGGGGAGUAGGUGGUGACAACGUUGAGGUUCGUGUCCACGUUGUCAGUGGCGGUGCAUGUGAAGGAGAUGCCGUCGGCGCCGCCAAGCGUGUUGCCCUCCUUGGUGAUGGCGUUGGUGCUGGUGCUGACGGUUGGGGCAGUG
rnacentral:lncRNA from 1 species